AGUGAACGCUGGCGGUAGGCCUAACACAUGCAAGUCGAACGGCAGCACAGGAGAGCUUGCUCUCUGGGUGGCGAGUGGCGGACGGGUGAGGAAUACAUCGGAAUCUGCCCAGUCGUGGGGGAUAACGUAGGGAAACUUACGCUAAUACCGCAUACGACCUUCGGGUGAAAGAGGGGGAUCGCAAGACCUCUCGCGAUUGGAUGAGCCGAUGUCGGAUUAGCUAGUUGGCGGGGUAAUGGCCCACCAAGGCGACGAUCCGUAGCUGGUCUGAGAGGAUGAUCCGCCACACUGGAACUGAGACACGGUCCAGACUCCUACGGGAGGCCGCCGUGGGGAAUAUUGGACAAUGGGCGCAAGCCUGAUCCAGCCAUACCGCGUGGGUGAAGAAGGCCUUCGGGUUGUAAAGCCCUUUUGUUGGGAAAGAAAUCUUUCAGGCUAAUACCCUGGGAGGAUGACGGUACCCAAAGAAUAAGCACCGGCUAACUUCGUG
rnacentral:rRNA from 1 species